UACGAAGGGUGCAAGCGUUACUCGGAAUUACUGGGCGUAAAGCGUGUGCAGGUGGUUUGUUAAGUCUGCUGUGAAAGCCCCGGGCUCAACCUGGGAAUGGCAGUGGAUACUGGCAAGCUGGAGUGCGGUAGAGGGUAGUGGAAUUCCGGGUGUAGCGGUGGAAUGCGUAGAGAUCCGGAAGAACACCGGUGGCGAAGGCGGUUAGCUGGGCAGUUGCUGACACUGAGGCGCGACAGCGUGGGGAGCAAACAGG
rnacentral:rRNA from 1 species